AUUGAACGCUGGCGGCAGGCCUAACACAUGCAAGUCGAACGAGUGGCGGACGGGUGAGUAAUGUCUGGGAAACUGCCUGAUGGAGGGGGAUAACUACUGGAAACGGUUGCUACUACCGCAUACCAUCGGAUGUGCCCAGCGGGGAUUAGCUAGGGGGUGGGGUAACGGCUCACCUAGGCGACGAUCCCUAGCUGGUCUGAGAGGAUGACCAGCAACACUGGAACUGAGACACGGUCCAGACUCCUACGGGAGGCAGCAGUGGGGAAUAUUGCACAAGGGGCGCAAGCCUGAUCCAGCCAUGCCGCGUGUGUGAAGAAGGUCUUCGGAUUGUAAAGCACUUUAAGUUGGGAGGCGUUACCAACAGAAUAAGCACCGGCUAACUUCGUGCCAGCAGCCGCGGUAAUUC
rnacentral:rRNA from 1 species